UUUUUUUUUUUUUUUUUUAGCACAGAUGUGUUUACAGAUUUUUAAUUUUUAUCUAUUACUUUUUGUAUUUGGAGGUGAAGUAUGAAUUCUGUGGGGAAAAGAAAGAGAGAUCAGCCUGUUACUGUGUCUAUAUAGAAAGAAGUAGACGUAAGAGACUCCAUUUUGUUCUGUAUUUGAGAUGCUGUUAAUCUGUGACCCUACCCCCAACCUUGUCCUUGCAAGAGACAUGUGCUGUCGUGACUCAAGGUUUAAAGGAUUUUGGCCUGUGCAGGGUGUGCUUUGUUAAACAAGUGCCUGAAGGCAGCUUGCUGGUUAAAAGUCAUCACCAUUCUCUUAAUCUCAAGUACCCAGGGACACAUAUACUGCCAAAGGUGGCAGGGACCUCUGCCUAGGAAAGCUAGGUAUUGUCCACGGUUUCUCCCCAUGUGAUAGUCUGAAAUAUGGCCUCGUGGGAAGGGAAAGACCUGAUAGUCCCCCAGCCUGACACCCGUGAAGGGUCUGUGCUGAGGAGGACUAGUACAAGAGGAAAGAAGGCCUCUUGGCGGUUGAGAUAGAGAAAAGCAUCUCUCUCCUGCCCGUCCCUGAGCAAUGGAACAUCUCGGUGUAAAACCUGAUUGUAUGUUGUGUUUACUGAGAAAGAAAACUGCCUUAGGGCGAAAUGUGGGACUUGCUAGCGCAAUGCCGCUCUUUAUGCACUAAAAAGGUUUAUGAAGAUGUUUGCAUAUGCUUAUCAAGGCACAGCAUUUUUCCUUAAACUUAUGUCACAGAGAUCUUUAUUCAUACGUCUUACUGCUGACCACCUCCCUACAAUGAUCCUAUUAUCCUGCCACUUCCCUUUUUCUAAGAUAGUAAAGAUAAUUAUCAAUAAAUACUAAGGGAACUCAGAGACUGGGGCCCGUGUGGGUCCUCUGUAUGCUGAGCGCUGGUCCCCUGGGCCCACUUUUUCUUUCUCUAUACUUGGUCUCUGUGUCUCAUUUCUUUUCUCAAGUCUCUUGUUCCACCUAACGAGAAACGCCCACAGGUGUGGAGGGGCAGGCCACCCCUUCAAACUCACUGUGCCAUCUUGACUGGAAAUACACCAUUUUCCUCAACCUCUUUUAUUCAGUUACUAAUUGAGUUUCUAUGUUGUGCUUGUUUUUUAUAAUAAUCCAUAUAUUUUCUUCUGAUGCUAAUAUGGAUUUUAGUUACUAUAUCUGUAGUAGUCUUUUGGAUGCCAUCUAUGAUAGUCACUUUUUUAUCUGCUAAUGGUUCUAAAAGACUAUGUUCUUUUAUAAAUGUGUAUCUGUGAAAUUUGCUUUCAGAUUCUGCACACAGAUAUAUUUCAGGUAGCCCUAUGGUUUGAACCUGUCCCCCAGAGUUCACAUGCUGGAAACUCAAUCCCCAGUGCAACAGUGUUGAGAGGUGAGAUAUUCAGGAGGUGACUAGGUUAUGAGGGCUCUGCCCUCAUGAAAAGAUUAAUGUCUUUAUUGUGGGAGUGGGUUAGUUAUCAUGGGAGUAGGUUCCUAAUAAAAGGAUGAGUUUGGUGUGUUUUUUCCUCCCACACCUCUUUCCCCUUUUCUUUCUCUCUCUUCCCCUCCAUCUUCUGACUAGGAUGACACUGCAGGAAGGCCCUCACCAGAUGUCAGCAUCUUGAUCUUGGACCUUCGAGCCUCCAGAAGUCAGGAAAUAAAUUUCUGUUCUUUAUAAAUUACCUCGUCUAUGUAUUCUGUUAUAGCAGCACAAAAUGGACCAAGACAGGUAGCUGUAACAUAAAGUUUUAAAGUACCCAAAGACUUUAAGAUAACCUUAAAUAGCCACUAACAGUGAGGGGUUUUUAAGCAGUGUGGCAAGCUGGUAUGGUGAGAUUAUUGCAGGCUCUGGUGUAAAACGAGGCCCCCAGAGAAGGUUGAUCUCACUGUUGGCAAUGUGCUUUCUCAGCUCUGCCUCAUCCCUUGUUCCUGCCCUUCACAGAAGUUCCAAGACCCAGAUGAGAGUCAUUUUUCUCAGACAGAUUGCUUAGUGAACUUUAUUCCUCAUCCACAUUCUCAAAGAUUUGAAUUCACUGUCUCACCAUGGCUCCUUCUCUUCUUCAUCCGAGUCUGUUUAGUCAACACAUUUUAGCACAAUGAAUCCCACUGCCUCUGCCUAGAGUUAGCUGUGACUUGUCCGUGUCCUAGUGCUUCAGCUGUCUUCAUGAUUUUUCUUUUUUCCAUUUAAUGUUCCUUAUCCACUCAAAACACUGCUUUUCUCUGUGUUCUUCCUAUGUAGUUACAAAUUCUCCCCUUUACUCUGGGUCCUAAAAAUAGGAUUAAGUUCAAGCAAAUAUGCCUUGGGUAUGAAAAUCUCAUGUUUUCAAAAACUAUAGAUUACUGAGGAUAUGGCCACAUCUCCUGCCCUGAAGAAAUGAGGGUAUUGAGA
rnacentral:lncRNA from 1 species